UCCAGACCUCUCAGGACUGCGCUGUUCCUUCCCCACUGUUACAACACUACCAGAGAGGAAGCCCUUUAACUUUGCAGCAUGGCUUCUAAGAGUCCUCUACACACUGUCUAGUGGUUCUUCAGCUACAUGUAGCCUGAGAUGAUUGGAGAGGAGAAGAUCUUUGGUUGAAAAGAAGUAAAAAGCUGCAGGGUGAAUGACGUCUUCUGCAUGUGCCACAGAGGCAGCAGAGCUCUAUACAGGGACCAGGGUGGAAGGAGGAGUGAGUACGUAGUCAUUGACCUACAGGGACGUGAAACACAUCUCUGGAAUCUCAUGCUGACUGUCUAAUCUUUUUGUCUAGGCUCUGCUGUUUAUUUUGAACAGAAGAGCAAUAGAAGAACUGAGGUUUCCAGAGGAGGGCUUUACCAUGCCACGCAUCUCUCCAGAAACCUAAAGAAGAUGACAUCCAGCAAACCAUGGUCUGCGCAUGGAGCAAGACUUCUUUGGUGUGCAUGAAAAGGCUACUUCAAGGCCAAGGAGCUGCAGAGCACAGAAGAGGCUGUGUGCAGUGGCUCACCCAGGGGCACGCGAGCGAUGCCGUUGUUCCUCCUGCAGCCUAGAACAGCACAGAAAUACCAACGUUGUCCCUCUUUCUCACUCUUUCCAGUGAUGCACAGCGCAGUUCCUCCUGGAGAUGGGCAAGGUAACCUUGCCUUCCAGAACCAGAACUUUCUCUCUUUGGGACACCAGCAUCUUGUUUGACCACCCAGGAGAUGCAAAGACUGUAAGCUCACAAUGUGAGAGAAUGAGAGCCGGGAGAGCCGAGCGUGGCGUUCCCACCCGUGACCACGGCGGAGCGCAGCCUGACGCGGGGAUGGGAGACCCAAAGGGACGCCGCGGUGCUGCAAAAACAAGGUAAACCCUUUCUGCUUUAUGUCAUUCUAUUCCUGAGGGAGAUGUGCUAAAGCCCCUGCCCCUUCUGCAAGGACAGAUAAAUUGUUUCGGAGCGAUUUUUACCAUCUCUAUUCCCUCUGCUGUGUAUCGGAGGACUGUUUUUCACCAGGAUCUCUAUUUCAUAGAUUCACAUUAGUGAAUUCAUAGAAUCACAGAAUGGCUUGGGUUGGGAGGGAUCUCAAAGAUCAUCUAGUUCCAACCACUAAUUCUUACUUAAAGCUACUGAGACGAUGCAGUUAUGAAUCAGGCCAUGCAGUUGUUGCUAUUUCAGAAGAAACCUAAGAGCAGACCAGCUUUAAUGAGAAAUAAAUUGUAAUCCAUCCCCACCAUUAAAAUUCACACGUAUGUGGCUAUCGAAGCAGUGAUCACGCAUUGCUCACGCAGAUUUACAGUCGGCUCUCAUUUACAUUUUGGGAGGUAAAAUGAGUAUUUAUUUCACAGGGAAUAUUUACGACCCAAGAAGUUUUUGUGGCUGCCUGUUGUAGGAACCAGCCCCUCUGCUUAUCCACAGGCUGAACACAGCUCAGACACGCGGUGCCUGAGCUCCCUGCACCGCUGCGGCACUGAACUUAGGCUUGAACGGGAGGAACUGCCUCUCUGCAAGAUGAGAGGGGAUUCAUUUUCCAUGCUAGCUCUUUCCUGGGGGGCUUUGCCAAGAAGAGAAAAACCACUUGCAGUUUUAUGUCUUUUCACCAUUUUUUUUUUUUUUUAAAGAACAUCAAAGUUAUCACUCCUGCUUUCUCACCAUAAUCCUGCAAAUCCUAAUGUAUGUCUCCCAGUCUUUUCAUACUAAAAGCAUGAGUGCAUGUGUUCUGCAGCAUUUCAGAGGUCGCAGACAGUUUCCUCAUUUGCAUACGCACUGUGGCACUAAAAGAGCCAAACCAAGGAAAGUAGUUCAAACUCAAACAUAUGGGUUUUUUCUUGGGUACUUUAAAGCCGAUUAUUAUUUUUAAAGUUACUUAUGUGACGUGAUGUCUAAUUCUGCUUCAGUGGAACAAGACGACUGGACAAAAAUGACUUUUCCAGGGUUUUUUUUUUUUUUGCCUCCCUCUUUCCCUGAACACUUUCUUCAAACUUUCAUGCUUAGCAAAAAACUCCCCUGUAAUUGUCUUGUCAUGAUUAUAGUUUUUCCCAUUCACUGCCGCUUUACAUGGAAGCCCCGGGAAAAGAAUUCUUAAAAAUUAAAUUUCAUGCUUGCAUGUGUUUCUGUGAUCUGCAGGGUGUAUGAUCUCCAAGUGGAAAACUUCUCUAAAAAUAAAUGGAUUACCCUUGCUCCGACGCUGUCUGAUGUCUGCGGAGCAGAUACCGCCGCUCGCCUGUGAUCUCCCGCCCACCGCAAUCGGGGUGACAGGCGUUGAGGCGAGGGCCGGGCCAUGGCGUGGGCUGGGGGAGCAGGGCCGGCUCGCUGCUGGAGGACAAAGGGUUGGCCUUCCCCACACAGCAAGGGGAAGAGCCUCGUCGCGUGGUUCGUGGGGAGGGCCAACAGCUUUCCACACCGAACGCCAUCUUGGGGAUUAUCUGCCACGCAGUCCUUCUCCACAGAGGGGUUGGGUUGAGCGGCUCGGUUUGGCCAGUUCAUUGGAGGUGUUGGUUCAGGGAUCAGCCGUGGCACAGCUUAGGCAAGGCAGCACCCAAGCCCUGAGCAACAAUCAGAGGGCCUCCAUGGGGCCUGAUGGCCUGCCCCCUCGGCCUGCACGGCUGCCUUUCCUCCGCAGCGCCCGGCCCUGCGCUGGGCCUGCAGGUGGUAUUGCAGCGCAAGAAAUAAGUACCGAUAGUGGCCAAGGGAUCCACUUUCAAGAUUUUCCUUCUUAUCUUGCAGCCCCAUCUUACCAGCCUUCUUCCCACGUGAGCGCACCCUUUUGACCUCACUGGAGUGAGGAGUUGCAGAUGCAGUGCAAGGCGUCGUGAACACCCUCCUCUUUCCCUGCUGUCUGGCUGUUUUGUGAUAGAUUUUCUGCUUCAAAGCUAGAAAUGACUUUGCAAGCCCUUGCUCCUGCGAUGCCACCCAGCAGCGACACUGCCAGGCGAGACACUGGUGCCCACAGGAAGACGCAGCGUGUCCCUCAUUGGCAUGGCUGCAUCAAGUCUUGACCCACAUAAGUAACAUUCCCUCGAGGGCCACCUUGAAAAGGGAUUAGGUAGAAAUGGGGAGAAAAAAAACAGAGCAGCUGAUAGCAGUAACACAUUCGCAGGAGCGGGAAGGCUGGUCCGGUGACUGAAUACCAGACUUGGACUCUGGAGAUCAAGGUUUAAUCCUCCAUUCUUCCACAGAUGUUGGCAAGUCACCUAAUCUCUCAGUGCCUCAGUUCCCCAUCUGUAAAAGGCAGAUAAUGGUGGUUCUUUUGUCUGCACUGUCUGCUUAGAUUUCUAAGUUUUUGAGGGCCAGGGAUGCUUCUUCAGGAGAGUGUAUACAGCACCUACCUCUGUAGGGGAAAUUGUACUGGAGCCUUCCAUGCUACAAAUGAUGAUUAAUAAUAAUAUCAGUCCUUUAAUUGUCAGGGAACUCGUGCUCUGUUGCAACAAAAUUAACAAUUAGUACAUGAUCGGAGCUUUAAUUGAAGCUGAAUAAAUAAUACUUUGUGUAACUUAAUGGGCAUUUACAGAAAACUUCUCCAUGGAGCCUGAGGGCAAUCUAAUUGUGAAGUGUCAUCUUCAGAUGUCCACAGCAACAAAUCCUAUCCCGUAAUGUUUGAGAGCUGUUUUCAAGUUGUGUGGCAAGGCAGAAGUUGUACUGAGGGCAUUUCUACCAGCUGCACCAUGGUUCUUCCCAGCCCACCGAGCAUUCAGGAGAAGCCCAACAAACCACAACAGUGGGAACUUCUCCAUUGCCCACAAAGCCUGGGAUGAAUUGUGUUGUUAUUACACCUAUCACAGCCCAAACCACCCAGCCUACUUUCAGACAGCAGUCACCUACAGUAACUAUUUCUAGAACUUCUCCUUUGCUGCCAAGCUCUGAGAUGUAAGUUUAAUAUUUUGAAGACCAUUCUCCCUUCGUUCCAAGGGGAAAGAAUUGGUAUCUGCUCUGAUUAUACUUAGCAUGUACUGGAGUCUUCUCUGAGGUUAAAAGGAAAUUUCAGCAGGUAGGAUUAUCUCCAACAAGUAUUAUAUCCUGCCAAAUUGUGUUUGGAUUUUGCUAGACUUAUUUACUUGUUCACAACACCCAGGGAAGCAGAGACUUUUUUCCUAUAAAGAAUUUGACUCUGUUUGAAGACAUGGGAGUUGUGUUUUCAAGAUGAAUCAGACUCAGAUUGACUUUGGGAUUUGACAUAUUAUUGAUUUACUGACUAACCUUGCUGUUCUGCUGGACAUGCUGUGACUUUUGUGAGCGACACUGAGCUAUUACAAGGCUUCAGGAAUGCUUUCUGGUGGCAUGUUUGGUUUAGGACAGUUCAGCUGAGGCUUUUGUGAUUAACUGCUUUAUAGCUGCAUCUUGGCUCCUGCCUUGUCUCCAGAUUUGUUGGGUGUGCUGAACCACUCCCUGCCUUUCCUCGCUCUCUCCAUCCAGUGUCUUAUCCUGUCUCCUCCUCUGACUCUUUCCAAGAACAAGAACCUCAGUGAAAGAACAGGCCAGGCUUUUUGGGAUGGGAUGUGAUGCCUUUACUAAUGCUUCUGCAGACUUCAGCCUGUGGUCCUUCAUCCAGCUCUAAUUUCUGCUGUUGCUGUUCUCCUGUGCUUCUCUGUCUUACGCUUGUCUCUGCUUUCCAGCUCUUCCCAUAUUGCUGUCCAGUCCUGCAACCCACUUUAAUCAAUGCAAAGCAGGCGUGUUAGUGAGCUUCAGGUCUCUCGGUCUGCUUUUCUUUGUCUCACCACCUGAUGUAGGUUUUUUGUGCUUGUUUUCCAUAUCUACAGUGGGUGACUAUGAUUUAUUUGUCUUUUAAAGGUUGAUCUAAGUGGAGAACUGAUGGUAAGCGUCUGCCACAGCUGUAUCUUAUACCUGCAAAUCCUCUUUCAUGUAAAGGGUAGGGGGCUCUGAGCCUGCUACAGACACAGCAUAGUCCUAACAAAGAGGAGAGAGUGGAGUAAGUGGAGCCAUUGCCUUUCCAAUGGGUUAUUUGUCACCACAAUGGAGUAAAUGCCCCACAGUUUAUGUUCUGUGUGCACAGGAUAAGCCUUAACUAGUCCCGAUUAGGUGCAGACUGAAAAAGAUGGGAAGAAAAUUACAGAUAGUUUUAUUUUUAAAUUUCAAGUUCCGAUUUUCUGUGUGUAAUUACACUGAAACACGUGAGGAAGGAGGUAGUGAUUUAGCAGUUAGCUGCAAAUUAUGAUGAAAUAAAAAAAAAAAGUCAUCUUUGCCCAACAGCUCUGGUUCAAAUGCUCUCAUUUCUUUCAGCAAAACCGCUGUCAUGCCCCCUGCCCACAGUAGUCUGUAUUCUUGGCAUCCUCGUUGUCCCAUGGGGUUCUCGUUUUGGCAUGCUCCCACUCCCAUGCGGUACUAUUUUCUUCCCUCCAAAUAAAAAGAACUGGGCAUUUGUAGGGAUGGUGGGUGAAAAUAAAUCCUGAAAACAUUUAUACUUUUUUCCAUGGAGGAGAAUUUCUAAUCAGCUGUGAUUUAUAGUUCGUUGCUGCACUGGGGCUUUUAAAACAUCAGAUGUAUUAGAUCUAGCCAAUAUAGGCCAAGUCAUUGUGAGAGAUGAAAAUUCUACCUAGAUCUUAAAUCUUUCCUGGCAGUGACAGAUGCCAAAGCCUUUCUGGCAAAAAAUAUACAAUUGUUUUGUCAAAGCUCACUUUAUAAAUACCUUUUGCUGGAAUGAUGAUGCUUUGUAUGAAACACAUUGCAGAAAACUGACAGCGAGGAUGGGAAAUGCUGACCUAGUUUUAUCCAGAACAAAAACAGGAUUUAUUUUUUUUGUACAAUUUUUCUCUUUUUCUUUUCUUUUUUCCCUUGGAAGAAAAGAGAGUUCCGUAAAUGCUAGUGCUUAGGGACUGCAGAAGCUGGAGGAUGGGAGGAAAGAGAAACACCUUUAUGGUCAAAAGCUUAAUAAUUCUGCUAUGACUGUUGGGCAAGCUGAUGGGGCCAACUCCACAUGGUCAAGUCCCAGUACUUCUAAUUGUUUUAACAGUCUUCAGCCCUACAAAAUACCUUCAGCUUCUGCUGAAAAUUGCAGGCAGGCCUAGGUUUUCAGAAAAGGAAGAUUAGAAGAAUAUUAAUUGAGACAUCCUCUUUAACUAAGGGGGGGGUUGUAGGCCUAGGCCCUGUUUUGAGUCCAGGGUGUGUUUAUCUCUAUGUACAUCUCUGUGUACAUCCUAGACUGUUCUUACACCAGAGCACAAGCUUUGAUGUUUAGCUGUGUGGUAAUCCUGGGCACCAUCCUAGGGAUCUUUGUACUCCUUUUGCUGAAUGUCAAGUGGAUUCCUUCUGAUUCCCAACUUGAAAACACUGUCGUCCUUUUGCUUUUGUGUGAAAAAUAGUAGCUUUCUCUAGGCAGGUAGCUCAGUAAGCGCAAGAAAUCAUGUUUCUGGUAAGGGAUAAAGCGAAUUCAUAGGACAAAACUCCAGCAGGACUAUAACCCACCAAAGUAAAACUUCCAGACAUACCAAGGGAACACACUUGUGUGCUUGCUUUCCUUUUUCUAUUAGGUUUCUGCUACUUUGCAUGUGAGCACGGGGAUGUUGAGCUAGAUGGGACUUCAACCUGACCCAACUGGUCAUUCACUUGUCCUUUAUUUUAAAGAGACCUCCAUGCUCUCCCAGGUACUACUGGUGUUUUGGCUGGUUUGGUUCAAGUCCCCUCACUACAGCUUCUGCUUUGCCAUGAGCUCCAGGAUGCUCUCAAGUACAAGCCAUGCUUUGUGUGAUGAAGGGGGCAGGAUCUGAGGCAGCCUCACCAGCAGUUUGGAUAGCAGCUCUUCGUCUCUGUUAUAUCUCCUCUCCUGGUGACCUCAUCUGGUUACUGUAGAAUUUUGCCACUUGGCAGGACAAGCAGCAUUCUGAGAGAUCUAUGCGUGAAAUCAUCAGCAUUUGAAAAUUCCAGCUAUAAGAUAUGCAAUCAGGUGUCUCCUUAAUGACACCAGCUAUUCAACUGCAUCUACCUCCAGACCUUCAAGUGGCUUCUCAGAGAAUUUCAAGCCCAGUUCAUAGUCUGUUCUUUGUUGACAGAGUUCAACAAGCCCUGUGAGAAGGAGACUAGAGAAACACAGAAAAACGUUCAAGACUCCAUGAGGACCAUCUUCAAGCAUCUUACUCCUUUGAACAGUGGAUCUGUGUAUAAUAGGUGAAACCACAGAAUCAUCACAGAAUCAUAAAAUGGUUUGGGUUGAAAAAGACCUCAAAGACCAUCCUGUUCCAACCCCCUGCCAUGAGUAGGGUCACCAACCACUAAAUCAGGCAUUAGAUCAGGUUGCUCUGGUUCCCAUCCAACCUGGCUUUAAACACCUCUAGGGAUGAGGCAUCCACAUCUUCCCUGGAAAUCCCUAGGUGAGAAAUAAAACUUCCCUGGAAGCCAGCCUAAGUGCAAAGCUGAGCCCUUGAGUAAGAAAUUACUUCCACAAAACUCACUUGCAUCUACUCCAAGGCCUUUCUUCAAGCUCACCUUCUUUUGUACCUUAAUCACACGAUGUAUGAACUCCCUUUCUCAAAAGAACCCAACCAAUGCAACAAACACCAGUGAAAGGAAAAGGAGCAAAGAGCAAACAGCUUUUUCCAGUGAUGGGGACAACAUAAGAAGCAGUAUAAGCCCCUGCCUGAUACUCAGAGCACAAAACCCAGCAGGGAGAGGGGUAAUGGAAUUUGGAGGCAACUGGUGUUCAAAGACCUCGCUUGAAAUGGGCCUAUGCUAAUGCUGAGGGAAAGCUCUCUCCAAGAUCUGGGACAAUGCAUAACUGCACAGGUGGACCAAUGCUGCUUUGAUAAUGCCAAAGAAGAGAAGAAGUGGAGAGAAAGAAAAAUGCUCAUUUUCAGCUGCAGUAGAUCCAAGUAGAUCCGAAAUGAAAUCCAGCCCCCAAAUACCUCCAGCUGGUGAAGGACUGGGAGCUCACCAGGAUGGGGUGAUGAUGGAAGAAAACAUGAAUAUUAACAGCUCAGCACCUGGAGUCAUCAGCCAAGAUUGCAGGCCCCUCACAAGAGGUGAUGGCCAAAAAAACGGCGAGAUCCAACCAGCUCCCUGUCCCCAUGGGCACAGCCAGCAGGGAAGGAGCAUUGUGGGGACAGACUGGGGUGGUCACUGUCAAGCCUGGAGCAGAGGGAGGAAGGGUUGGGGCUGCCCUGAGCCCAGGCAUCUCUGUGACCCAGGAACCGCGGGCCUUGCGGAGCGCUAAUUACGGAUGAAACCAGUCUAAGCCUUUAAAAGAAAAAAGGACGUACAGGAGGAAAUCCACAGCGUUUGACCGGACCUGCGGUUCCAAUUCAGGGUGAGCAAUGCACAUAAAAGGGAUCCAACGAGUGCCAGAAUUAAAGAAUGAGCAGAAUUAAGGUUUUGAGUCUUACGUAUUUUGGUAUUAGACGAGCUCUAAAGACCCUCGUGGUAACCACAAGUGGUGACCUAUUGCUUUGAUCCGCAACAUCUACCAGAAAAUAUAUUUUGCCAACAGAUCCUUCUGCUCCCACAGUAAUGAACCUCCACCAAAGAUAAAUGCAUUUGGACAUGCAUUUGAUCUUGCUAUAUGAUUUGAAUGCAUUUGCAAUUCUGUACUCACCAUUUAAAUUCACUGUAGAGAGCAAGUUGCAAUACUUUUAACGGGCUCUAAUCUCUCUGGUUUCAGUUUGAGACCAAGAGGCAUUUCAUAUCAUCAGCACUGGAUUUGUAUUGUAUGCUCAGAAAAUAGGAAUGGAUUUCCAGGGGGUUUAAUUUAUCAAUAUCUGGUCUUUAUGGGAAACAUUAGUUUGCAUAGGAAAAGGGGUUAAAGGAAGGUUUAAAUUAUGUCUCUAAUAUUUCCUGAAAACUUUGUACAAAAAUAUUCUAUGCCACAAAAGCCCAUUAAAUAUUCAAACUUUAAUAUACAUUCCUCAGUAACAAAUGUACAGUUAGAUAACACAUAAAGAAUUGUGAAUGACUAAUUAUAUUUUGCAUAUUUACAGCAAAGACAAUUAGCAAAUAGCUUUUAUAUGCAAAAUAAAUGAAAAAGUAAUUAAGAUGCACUAACUAGAGCAGCAAUAUCAAGUCUGUUGUCUUGUGAUUCAUUCCUAACAAACAUAAUAAUUAUGCAUUCAUUGUCAUAUAAUUAAAACAGCUCUGUCCUUUAGAAAACUGGUUAUUUACUGUAUAAUAACCUGAAGAGUGGCAGAAGUUCCUCAUAAUGGUGAGAAGGAUAAUUAAAUAUUUCUUCCUGGUGUCUGCUCACUCAGUUGAGUUUAUUAUCUUAAACUUCUGCGUGAAAACAUUUCUUUGGCAGUUCCAACCCCUCUCCCCAGCUCACCUCCUCCCCACUGGGAAAGCUGUGCCUCCUGUUCCCUGCUCCCACACCAAAACCUCCCCGAGCACUGCCAAAAUGGUCAUGGCAUUAAAUCCCACCCCAGCAGGAGGAAGCUCAUGGGUCUCACUUGGGAGGACGGGGAUGCUCCAAUUCAAACCAUCUCCUCCAUGCUGUGACCUUGGUUGAACUCCUUUGGUGUCACUGCUGGAGGUGACCACGUGUCUCAUUUUGGGAGUGGAGAAUAUCUCCUGGCCUGAACGUGCCAUGGUCCUUGGAUGGAGCACAGCAGCAAACCUCUGUCCUCCAGCUGCAACCCAGGGCACAUCCGCCUCUCUCCAUCCUCCUACUGCUUUCAUUCCCCAGCUCUUAUUAUAGCUCAGUAAAACAUGAUAAAUCAUUUGGUCUCAACUGGAACCAUUAAUCAAUGCACAACAGACAGUAAUGUCCAGUACCAUACACCAUCUCUAUAAUACCAUUAUCAUCAACCACUCUUUUUGUCUUAAAACUGCAUUUUCCUCUAAACCUCAACUGCAGAAUAUACUGAGCUGCAGCAGAGGAAAAGCAAAGUAAUUGUUCAGCUGAACAUGGUGCUGGCCUGGAUCUGUAAUCGGAUUUCAGGGGACUCAAUAGGUGAGGAGCAGGGCACAGGGAGCCAGUCACCGACGUGUGCUGGGAUGGACAGACUCAGCCCCGUCCUCCUCUUGGAGCCUCAGCUCAACGCCAGCCCUGUGUGAACCCACACUGAGGGAGCUGGGGUGGAUUUCAUUGCCUGCAGCCCCUCAGCCCAUUGCUAGGAGUGUUUGGGGUAACCUGAGAUUCGCCUUGAAGGGGUGAGUGAGAUGCAAAAUGCACAGAAAAAAAGAAAGAAAGGGAUAACAUUGAGCUGUUGGCCUCUGCCAGGAGUGAAAUCUUUGCACAUAUUUCUCAAUACUCCAGGGGAAAAAUAUUAAAGUCCCUACAGGCUUUGUUACUCAAUUCAUUUACUCAAACCUCUCUAUCUGCUUGCUUCCUCUUUGGGAAGCAAUGGGGCUUGGCCUGGCCUGAACAGAGGGACCUCGUGCUGUUGCUCCCCUGGAAUUAGUCAUCCUUCAAAGUUCUGGUCUCAAAUUGGUCCCCAUCUCUCCUCACUUCUAACUUAGCACAGAAUGGGGAUGGGCCAUAUUCUCUAUUAAAUCCUACAGAGCGGAGAUUUCAGCAUGUUUGGGCCACGCUUACACUUCCUUAGGCUGACCUGGUGCUUAGGUGCAUUCCUCAACAGCUCUGUCUUUCUCCUUUAUCCCCUUCGUACCGAUAUUGAACAACCAAGGUUUACUCUCCUCGUGCACAGCCAAUGCCUAGUCCACUACUUGAGUCAGAGCAAGGAUGGAGGGCAAUACCUGUUAGUAUGGGCAAUACCACUGGGACCCCUUGGAGACUCAUUUUCUCUCCUAUUCCCUUGACAUAUACAAUGCUGCAAACCAUCUCUACCAUGCAUGGAGGAACAGGGAUCAUUAAGCAACCUAUAAGGACCAUUCGCCAUCCUAUAGUGAGCAUUAGCCAUUGUAUAGGAAGCGUGAGCUUCCAGAGCCUGCAGGGUGUCAGGAUACAGUUCUGUGCAGAGCUGUCAGAAGAGACUUAACCUCACUCUGUCCCUCUUUACCCAAACUAAGAAGAUUGCAAGGCUUAGUUGAUGUUUGUGAGUGCCUCAGGGUUAUGAGAUGAUAGGCACUAUGUACAUGCAAGUGUAUUAUAAUGCAUGUCAUAAGUAGAAUUAAUAAGCUAUAAGGUAUUAAUGUAAAGGUAGCACGCGCUCCUGCAUGAUGACCUUUCUAUCUGCAUCUUUACAGGCAUCCAGAAAAUGACUGCUAAUUUAAAAUCGGGUUAAGAAGAAAUAACGUAGUCCAUCAGUAUGGGAUAAUGAGUCAGUAAAUAUCAUUUAUACAAAAUGAGUCAGCAGUAAGAACUAUGAUAAAAAGAGAUGAGAGGGAGAGAGUGCUAGGAGAGAUGGGUAUGACACAUGCAUUCAUUUCAGAACUUAUAAUGUUCUUUUUGGAAAUCUGGCUUUGAUUUUGGGCACUUCUCAUCUAAAAUGUUGGGGAUCCCAGCAGGAGCUGGGCGCAGAGCCAGAAGGGGGGACGUUUUGCCUCAGACAUUUUGUAAAGGGCAAGCUGAGCCCUCAGGAAAGAAUCAGAAGGUCCUCUGUGAGUUACAUGAAGUUGGGGUCAACAUCAGAAGCCCUUUAAGCAUUCCUGAUCAUAGAAGCAUCAAUCUGUUUUCUCAGAAUCAUUGAGGUCGGAAAAGGU